GGUCUUCACCAUGAUAACUGUGGAGUAAGAAUUAUAAGCAGGUCACAGAUUAGGGACUUGAGAUUGACAGUUUGGCUUCCCUGUUCUGGGUGGCAAAGCCUGUGGAGUACUCACCUACCUGCUGCAUGAAGGCAGCAUGGAGGGACUGUGGUGGAUUAUCUGCAAAGAUGGCCAAAAUUCUCUCAUCCCUGCAGGCACAUACAAGAACUGAAGCUCAGCUCUUCACCCUACAGAAAGCCUGAAUUUUGUAAAUGUUCUGCUUAGAAUGAGGAAGAAAGAUGAAGAAUGAGGAGGAAGAAGGAAGGAACGAGAGAGAGGUAAAGCCAACAAGCAGAACAGACCUACAUUUGCAGCAUCUCCAAGUUUCUGCAACAGCAUUAUGUUGUUGUUAUGUUUUGUUUUAAUAAAAGCACAUACCAUUUU
rnacentral:lncRNA from 1 species